rnacentral:rRNA from 1 species
CCCUUAGAUGUCCUGGGCCGCACGCGCGCUACACUGACAUGUUCAACAAGCCUCCUAGUUCGACAGGAUUUGGGAAAUCUUUGAACGCAUGUCGUGAUAGGGAUAGAUCAUUGCAAUUAUUGAUCUUGAACGAGGAAUUCCUAGUAAACGCGAGUCAUCAGCUCGCAUUGAUUACGUCCCUGCCCUUUAUACACACCGCCCGUCGCACCUACCGAUUGAAUGUUUCGGUGAAGAUUCCGGAUAGGACUUUUUUGAUUUAUUUCAAUUUUGUCUUAAAAGCUAUCUAAACCUCAACAUUUAGAGGAAGGUGAAGUCGUAACA